GAAGUUGGAGUCGCUAGUAAUCGCAGAUCAGCAACGCUGCGGUGAAUACGUUCCCGGGCCUUGUACACACCGCCCGUCACGUCAUGAAAGUCGGUAACACCCGAAGCCGGUGGCCUAACCCCUCGUGGGAGGGGGCCGUCGAAGGUGGGAUCGGCGAUUGGGACGAAGUCGUAACAAGGUAGCCGUACCGGAAGGUGCGGCUGGAUCACCUCCUUU
rnacentral:rRNA from 1 species